GUAUGUUUCAUUGUAUUCUGUGUGCAUGAGAACAGAGUGAUUUUCGUCCUGUUCUCACGACAUAAGCUGUGCUUUCAAAAAACACAUCCUAUGGAAGUUUAUGUUAAAGGUCAUAAAACUGUUAAACGCUCAUAAAUUGAGAGCUACUCCUAAAUUUAUGUUCUUCCUUACCUUAUCUGUUAAAAGCAUUCCAGACUGGAUGUAAACACUUCUGCAUCCACCUUUUCUUUGGUUCUUUGUGUGUGUGCGUAUAUAUACUCCUGUCUCCCACAAUAAACUUUGAACGUCUCACUGAGCACUGACUUGUGUGUAUCAUUGAGGGGUUCCCUGGUACCAGGCGGGACAAGCAGAAUACAGGCUGAGCACUGAGUAGACAAAAGGAGGUCUACCAAAAUUCAAGAAAUCCUUACAAUUUGGGGGCUCGUCCGGGAUACCUCUAAUCAGACUAAAGACGUGCUGCAGUGAUGUCCAACCCGUGAUGUGACAUAGAGAGAGUGACGUGACACAGAGGGAUCGUCUGGGGUUGCCACUGAAUGACUUUACUUCUGCUAUUAGUGUAGCAUUUCUGGUGGUGUCUUAGCGCCUCGUAAGGUGGGACGAGUGCAGAUUGGGCGUGCCCGCACUCUGAGCACUGUAUCGUCAAGAAAGGCAAUAGUUCACCACUAGUAGUUAUUUAUGAGUUUGCACUCAACCUGUCAAAUCUGUGUAUUUUUCGCUGUGUGCAAAAUCUUUUGUACAAGUAUGUUUCAGGUUAUGUUCCUGCGCCGCGUCCGAUGACCUAUUAUCCGCCAGCGACUUCUUGAAAGCUCUGAGUUUUAUUCAACGAUAUUUCUUAUGAAUAAAAGGGGGGAAUUGUAGGGAAUAUUUGAUUUUUAGUAUGUUUCAUUGUAUUCUGUGUGCAUGAGAACAGAGUGAUUUUCGUCCUGUUCUCACGACAUAAGCUGUGCUUUCAAAAAACACAUCCUAUGGAAGUUUAUGUUAAAGGUCAUAAAACUGUUAAACGCUCAUAAAUUGAGAGCUACUCCUAAAUUUAUGUUCUUCCUUACCUUAUCUGUUAAAAGCAUUCCAGACUGGAUGUAAACACUUCUGCAUCCACCUUUUCUUUGGUUCUUUGUGUGUGUGCGUAUAUAUACUCCUGUCUCCCACAAUAAACUUUGAACGUCUCACUGA